UGCAACAUACCAGCAGGAAGUAGGGAACCAGAAGAAAGCUACAUCCAAUGCCAUUGUCAAGAGGCCCAGCAUUAAGCGAAUAAACAAGAAGAAAAGUAGUAGAGGGAACACAAAGAGAAGAAACAUAAAGCUAAUGGAUCUACAUAUAACCUCCUCCUUGGGGGACGGACAACAGAAAGGGGCGCGUGGAAAAAUACACGGAAGGAAUACUGGAACAGGAGCGUGGAACGAUGUGCAGAGCCAACAGCAGGAAAUACCGAGAGAGUGAGGGGGCCACGAGUGGACCUGCAGGCGUGUGCUCACCCACAUGUGAGAAAGGCAGCCAGAUCCUAGUGAAAAAGGGCAAAGACGGGGAAAAGCUCCUGAAAAGCAGCUCCCAGUUGAUUCCAAACACCGACUCUCCACACCUCCUCUCCACAUCCUUG